AAGAAAAGGUAAUUUUUAAAUUGAAUAACUGAAUACAUCAUUAUGCUAUGUCAAGAUGAUGCUUAAUAAGGCUUCAAAUAUUCGGGAACUUGAUGUGAACGUUUAAAGAUAGUUAGGCUCAGAUGAUUAAUGAGGACAGAUUAAAAAAUUUUCCUCUAAGGUCAAAUUGCAUGUACAAACCUAUGAAACAGUUGUUGGAAAUUUUUUAAUCUAUUAUGUAUAAACACGUGUGUUGCAAGAGAGUAGAAACCGUAGUACAGUCUGGAAAAUCUUAACGUACAAAUCACAUGUGAAAAAAUAGGUUCCUUAAAGGAUAAAAAACAAAAAACAAGAAGUACCUAAAAUGCUGGGGGCAUAUUUUUUUUUUCAAAAAUGCAAAAAAGAAAGGGUUGCUAUAAAUAAUUUGAAAUAAACUAAUUAACAGGGAGAUAUUAAAGAAAGGUGAGGUUUCAUGUAUUUACAAUUAGAAAAAACAAGAAAAUUUCGAAAAGUCAUGAUUCUGAAAUAAUAAAAUGAGCACGGUGCAAUUUAGUUUGCGAGUUGAACAAAAUGUAAAGAGAGAAAAAGAGAAAGUAGCAGAAACCAUUACUUCCCAAAUAACCAAAAAAUUAAUCAUCCAUGUUAGCAACCCAAUCGUCAUCAAAAUCGCUUGGCUCUGCAUCGUCCGCAAGUGGUGUAAACACAGAAUCAUCGUCAUUUCCAUAACGAUUCCGACCCGAGACUUCCUUGCCCAAACCAUGAAGUGAUAAAUAAAGCAUGCGCUUCAUAUUUUUGUUAAAAAAAAAGUAGGACAUCCCCCAUAUUAAAGCAUCAUCGCCGUAAGGAUCGCUGUCGCUAUCUGGAGUAUAGGAAUAAACGCUGCAAUCAGACAGGUUGAUAUGACGGUCGAUAAUUUCCCAAAUUCCAUUCACACUCAAUCUACCACGACCAAUGUUAUUAAGUGUAGAAUUAACGGAAUCUACAACACGAGAUAGUGAAGGCUCUUUGUAAAAAUCUGUUGGUUGGAGGCUACUAAAAUCAUGAUCGGGAUAAGAGGCAUUAAGAGUAGCGACAAUGUACAUAAAGGUACGACGAGAAGAGGACUGAUCAAGAGGCCCAAAUGGACUUUGCUGAGUUAGGCUGAAAGCAUAUUCCGGUGAUUUACUACUCGAUAAUGCAAAUAGAUCCUCCUGACACCGAUUCUCUAUAGCUUUAAAGAGUUUCUUGUCAGAAUUUGUACUCUAUAAAAUUGUUAGCACAUUUUAUAUAUCAGUAUAUUCAUGUCUUGGUAAGUUAAUAAAGCAGAAUGCUCCCGAAUCUAAAAACAGACACUCAGACGCGGUACUCCAUUUGGUAAACAACAAUCGUAAUCAUUUUGGUUUCAGAUUUGAAACGUAAAGAAACUAAAUAAAUAAUCACAAAAAAAAACAAUGAUUAUAUAAUUAGCUGAUCUUGUACAAGAGACCAAAAAGAACCAAAAUUGUUCAACUUAGUGAUUUGACCACGCAAGAAAAGAGGAUCAUUAUUAAAAGCAUAUGUCAAAUUCAAGAACCAAUGUACAAUUUUCCCUUUACCAGACUAACCAAGCUUACAAGUUAAAUUUACCUUGGUUGUAUAGAGCUCGCACUUUCCGCGUAUGCGACAAUCAUCGGCAUCAAAUGAUAAGGCAUUAUUGACUGUAUCUAAAUCGGCAAGCUCAAGAAACUGGUCACAAAAACAGGGUUU
rnacentral:lncRNA from 1 species